GUGGCCUCCCCCCGUGGGAUAAAUCCCCCCUAAGAAUUUAGAUCUGGCUCAAAAAAAACGCGGGGGGCAGGCUAACCCAGAAAUUGAAAGGAUGCCUUCGGGCAUGGGGCGCACGGGUGAGUAACACGUGGGAACAUACCUUUUGGUGGGGGAUAACUUCGGGAAACUGAAGCUAAUACCGCAUACGCCCCUUGGGGGAAAGAUUUAUCGCCGAAAGAUUGGCCCGCGUCCGAUUAGCUAGUUGGUGAGGUAAUGGCUCACCAAGGCUCCGAUCGGUAGCUGGUCUGAGAGGAUGACCAGCCACACUGGGACUGAGACACGGCCCAGACUCCUACGGGAGGCAGCAGUGGGGAAUAUUGGACAAUGGGCGCAAGCCUGAUCCAGCCAUGCCGCGUGAGUGAUGAAGGCCUUAGGGUUGUAAAGCUCUUCACCCACGACGAUGAUGACGGUAGUGGAGAGAGCC
rnacentral:rRNA from 1 species